rnacentral:rRNA from 1 species
UACGAAGGGGGCUAGCGUUGCUCGGAAUUAUUGGGCGUAAAGAGCUCGUAGGCGGUUUGUCGCGUCUGCCGUGAAAGUCCGGGGCUUAACUCCGGAUCUGCGGUGGGUACGGGCAGACUUGAGUGAUGUAGGGGAGACUGGAAUUCCUGGUGUAGCGGUGAAAUGCGCAGAUAUCAGGAGGAACACCGAUGGCGAAGGCAGGUCUCUGGGCAUUAACUGACGCUGAGGAGCGAAAGCAUGGGGAGCGAACAGG